rnacentral:rRNA from 1 species
AACGAACGUUAGCGGCGCGCCUAACACAUGCAAGUCGAGCGAGAAAGGGCUUCGGCCCCGGUAAAGCGGCGCACGGGUGAGUAACACGUGGAUAACCUACCCCUUGGUGGUGGAUAACCUUCCGAAAGGAGGGCUAAUACAGCGUAAGACCACGACUUCGAAAGAGGUUGAGGUAAAAGUGGGCCUCUGUACACAAGCUCACGCCAGGGGAUGGGUCCGCGGCCCAUCAGCUAGUUGGUAGGGUAACGGCCUACCAAGGCGAAGACGGGUAGCUGGUCUGAGAGGACGAUCAGCCACAC